rnacentral:siRNA from 1 species
CAUGGAUGAUGCGAUAUUCUU